rnacentral:rRNA from 1 species
GGGCUUUUGCCCGGUGCACUCUUCUGCUGUCAGGCCAGCAUCGGUUCGGGCGGUCGGAUAAAGGCUUCGGGAAUGUAGCUCCUCUCGAGGAGUGUUAUAGCCCGUUGCGAAAUGCGGCCAGCCUGAACUGAGGUCCGCGCUUCGGCUAGGAUGCUGGCGUAAUGGUUGUAAGCGGCCCGUCUUGAAACACGGACCAAGGAGUCUAACAUCUGUGCGAGUGUUUGGGUGUCAAACCCGUACGCGUAAUGAAAGUGAACGGAGGCGGGAACCCCUCGGGGUGCACCGUCGACCGAUCCUGAUGUCUUCGGAUGGAUUUGAGUAAGAGCAUAGCUGUUGGGACCCGAAAGAUGGUGAACUAUGCCUGAAUAGGGUGAAGCCAGAGGAAACUCUGGUGGAGGCUCGCAGCGGUUCUGACGUGCAAAUCGAUCGUCAAAUUUGGGCAUAGGGGCGAAAGACUAAUCGAACUAUCUAGUAGCUGGUUCCUGCCGAAGUUUCCCUCAGGAUAGCAGUAACGUUUUCAGUUUUAUGAGGUAAAGCGAAUGAUUAGAGGCCUGGGGGUUGAAACAACCUUCACCUAUUCUCAAACUUUAAAUAUGUAAGAAGUCCUUGUUACUUAGUUGAACGUGGACAUUUGAAUGUAUCGUUACUAGUGGGCCAUUUUUGGUAAGCAGAACUGGCGAUGCGGGAUGAACCGAACGCGGAGUUAAGGUGCCGGAAUGCACGCUCAUCAGACACCACAAAAGGUGUUGGUUCAUCUAG